AGCGCUUCUCGGCCUUUUGGCUGAGAUCAAGUGUUCUUACCAGUUUACUAUCUGAUACGUCCUCUAUCCGAGGACAAUAUAUUAAAUGGAUUUUUGGAACAGGGAGAUGGAAUAGGAGCUUGCUCCGUCCACUCCAUGCCUCGACCUGGCAUUGCAGUACCUCCAGGAACAGUGCACAAAAA
rnacentral:snRNA from 1 species